rnacentral:rRNA from 1 species
CGGCGGACGGGUGAGUAACGCGUGGGUAACCGUGCCUCAUACAGGGGGAUAACAGUUGGAAACGGCUGCUAAUACCGCAUAAGCGCGCAGUACCGCAUGGUACGGUGUGAAAAACUCCGGUGGUAUGAGAUGGACCCGCGUCUGAUUAGGUAGUUGGUGGGGUAACGGCCUACCAAGCCGACGAUCAGUAGCCGACCUGAGAGGGUGACCGGCCACAUUGGGACUGAGACACGGCCCAA